UCUUUGCAUUGUUUCUCCAUGGAUGAUUCCUUAACUUUAAGAAAUAACAGGGAGAGGAGCAAGGGAUGAAGGGAAUGAGAAAGCGGGUGGGCAGAGAAAAGGGCGUAGCGUGGGAAUCAUCAUAAUCAUCACCAUCAACAUCAAGUUGGAACACCACCUUCAAACCAUCCAAUGAGCAGCAUGGAGUAGCCAAAACAGCAACCACCGGGACCAAGGAUGCCUGAUGGGACCAGAGGAUUCUCGAUGGGAAGAGGAAAGCCAAUCACGGUUCAGGCAGACUGAUCCAGAGCUGAGUGAGUUGUGUGAUCAUGAGUCGUGUGUAUGAGCUAUUUUCAUAAUCAAGAUUAUAGCAAAACUAAAAAAUGAGAGUUUAUUGAUGAAUUUAAUUAUCCAGAAAAUAUAAAGAUUAUAGCAAAACUAAAUUUAAUAAUUCAAUUUCUAAAAAAUAAAAAUAAUAAUUAAGAACCUCAUAGGAGUUCUUCCAUUGGACCUUCUCAAAACUAAUUACAAUAUUAAGAGUUCUAAACUACUUAAAAUACACAAUUAAUAAUUAAAUUAACCUUAAGAACCCAUUAAAGGUUGUAACCAAUGGAGGUGGUCUUAUGUUGUUCUUUUCUUUUGGAGUGAAAAUUACUUUUAUAUAUAACAUCUCGUGAUGGUUAUAUAUUAUUGAUAAGCGUGCCAGUUUGUACAAUGAAUCACAUGGUUCAUGAAUAUGGUUUGUAAUAUUUGUUGUUUUUUUUUUUAAAUUUGUUUUCAGUUAUAAUAAUUUGUUCGUGUGAAUGUGAUUUAUUGUGUAUGUUAUUUAUAUAUAUUAAAACAUUCAAGAAGUGCUACGCCGAGUCGAUCCCAUAAUUUUUGUAGGUAAGAGAAAAGAGGUGUUUUUAAAUUUCUUCCCUACAUAAUCUCUACGUGUAUUAUUCAGUUAACACAAAAUUGUUAGAACUUUAGAUGUUGUAAAGGUACGACAUUAUAUUAUUCAACCUCAUCUCUUGUUAAAUAUGUUAAAUGUAUCCGUAUAUGUUCACUUGUAAAAACCUCAAAAGUUGUAGAGAUUAUUAGCUUAGGUUACUUAGAUUAGAAGUUAUUUUGACUUAGGUCUAGUAUUGAAAGUAAAGACAAAAACGAUUUAACGAAUUCCCGGCCAUCGACGCGGUAUGUCUCGUGGGAGAACUUCUGUUCCCAAAAUCCACUAGAUCAAAGAGACACUAGCUAACAACACCAAAUCAGUGUGAUAGAUAGAAUGUUUACAAAGAACCAAAUAAUCCAAGCUAGAGGAUACAACAAAGCCCUUAGAUAAUAGACUUAGGCCUAAGCUAUGUAUCUUGUAUUGUUGUCUCCUUCCUCUUGCUUAUUAACCUUUGAUUGAUCUGAUUCUUGUUGCCGUAAACCCUUAGUUUCCUUGAUGCUGCUUCACAACCAUAAUCAACCAUACUAACAUAUAUAUAUGCUUCAUAAGUGAUUAGGUUAUAACUGGAGUGGGCUUGCAUGCUUGCUGGCCCAGAAGAGAUGUUGCUGUCACUGGCCCAGGAGCUUUGCUGAGGCCCAAAACCUCACAAAUCUCCACCGUUUUGACUGAAGCCCAUAAGCCCAGCUCACUGCCUCUUCUGCCGACAACCCUACUCUGUCUCUUUGUUUGAAAGUCGAAGAAUCACUCUCGGCCGCUUCUCUCUCUCUCACCAUCUCGAAUCUUUGUCUCCUUCCGACGUUGAAUCCUCUCUGAGUGAGAUUCCGGUCGAUGGAGUCGUUAUGAUUACAUUUCUCUUCUCAAUUAACCUCAGGCACAUCUAGUCUCUCUCGUUGUUAGAGAUUAGGAUCAUCUGCAAAGUCAAUCGAAAGUUCUCAACUUGAGAUUCCGUUGAUUCUUCACCUCCUUCUAGCUUCUCUCUCUCUUUCCUCUCAACCCUCUUCGCUGCGAGUACUUGAAGCUUCACCGAGCUCCGUCGAGGGAGAUCUGUCUGCCAUGACGGUGCCGCUUCUCCUCCUUCUCUGUCCUCAGGUACAUCUACCUUCUCUCACGCUUCGAGAAGAUAUGAUAAUCUAUAAAGACAAGAAGAUGUCUGAUUUAGCGGUUUACUAACCCCUUUGUUUUCAGUUUUGCAAUGUCUCCUCCGGUGAGUGAUUCACCUCCUCCGACAUGUCUGUAGCUCCGAAGUGAGCUCCGUUUCAGAAGCGAUUGGGAUUCAUUGUCGCUUGUGCUCAUAUUUGAGCUAUGUCAUCAUGCUCCACCUCUUUCGUAAACCAAGUAAUCCCCUUUCUCAGCAAACCCUCUGUAAUCUGCUUAUCGUUUGUCGACCUGACUCCUCUGUGAUGUUUCAGGAGUCGCUUUAGCUCGAUGAUGAGCUGUCUCAGUUUCUAUCUUGAAACCCUUCCUCAAUCAGACAUUUGAUUCAGCUCCUUGAGUUGUUAACACACUACCACGUUCCGCUGGUAAGCCAUUCUAACAUGCUUCAUUGCUUCGUAACGUUUUUGAGUUUGUUACUCACACUGUAGCUCGUGGCUUGAUGUAGAUUAGCUGGUUCUGAGAUGUUGGUGAUGAUUUUCUGAUGUAUAUGACUCUGAGACUUGCCCACGACGACGCAUGGAGCUCUCUGAGUUUGUUUUUCCUCUACUCGGGAAUGUCUGGUGGCUCACGAUUACUCCACCUGAAUCGAGUACUCUUUCUCGAUUCUCAUUAUCCUCCAGGUGAUUCCUUGUUCUUUAUUGACACUCCCUGUUGACUUAGAUUCACAAUCGCACACAUACUGACCUCUUGUUUGUUGUCUGUUUUGUGCGAGGGUGGACCCGUUCAACUUGAAUCACCUGGAGUGCCCUGCGUCUCCUCAGUUCACAUUCAAAAGCUCACAGCAAAGCUGGAACUUCUGACCAGGUACCGUCUUAGUUAGGAAGUAUGAUGGAUUAACAUUAGUGUGUAUCUUGUUUAGGACAAUAUCCCCUGAUUACACUAGGUCUUGAAUGAAGUUGAACUUGGUAGCUAUAUGCUUUGUCUUUUCGUGAUUGACUGGAUUUCUUGCUAGAGCUAGGGCACUUUGAGAAUCGCAGUAGAGUUUGAUCCCCUGUUGUUUGAAACCUAGUUCAUCGCAUAUUUCUUUUAGCCACAUUGCUUCUUUAGCUGCUUCAUUCAUAGCCAUGUACUCUGCUUCUCUAGUAGAUAGGGCAACCACUGAUUGUAAACAUGACUUCCAUGAGAUAGUGUUACCUCCAAAUUUGAAUGCAUAUCCCGUAACUGAGCGCCUUCUGUCUAUGUCUGUUGCAUAAUCUGAGUCUGAGUAUCCUUCCACUAGGAGUGUAGAGUUCUUCUUGAAUGUUAAAUUCGAAUCAACUGCUCCCUUUAGGUACCUUAGAAUCCACUGAACAGCUUUCCAGUGUUCUCUUCCUGGUUUACUCAUGAAUCGGCAAAUAUAGCCUACUGCGAACCCUAGGUCAGGUCUGGAGCCUACCAUGGCGUACAUUAGGCUCCACACGGCGCUGGCAUAGGGAAUUCUUUCCAUCUGAGAAGCCUCCACUUUCCACUCGUCAUCUGUGAGACUUCUUAGUUUGAAAUAUGAUGCAGUAGGAGUAAUCACAGACUUAGCGUCCUGCAUUCCAAACGUCCUUAGGACUUUCUCAAUGUAUUUGCUCUGAGAUAGGAUCAGGUUUCCCUUCUCUCGAUCUCUGGUGAUAUCCAUGCCCAAGAUUCUUGAGGCCUUUCCCAUGUCCUUCAUCUCAAAUUCUCCACUCAGCUUUUCCUUCAGGUCUUUGAUCACCUUCUUAUUUCCUGAGGCAAUCAAGAUGUCAUCGACAUAUAGGAGUAGAUAGAUCUCCUUAUUAGUUUGAACAUCCCUCAUGUAGACACAUAGGUCCUUACUACAACGUUCAAAUAACUGAUCCUUCAUGAAGUUGUUGAACCGAUGGUUCCAUCUUCUUGGGGAUUGCUUCAAGCCAUACAGAGACUUCCUUAAUAGGCAUACUUUGUUCUCUAUCCUUGGCUUUAUGAACCCCCAGGCUGUUCUAUAAGGAUUCUUUCCUCUAGGCUUCCAUGUAGGAAAGCAAUUUUAACAUCCAUCUGUUCUAGUUCCAAAUUCAAAUUCACUACAAUGCUGAGCAUAAGUCUGAUAGAGACAUGUUUCACAACAGGUGAAAAUAUUUCAUUGUAGUCAAUCCCUUAUGUCUGAGAAUAUCCUUUAGCAACUAGUCUGCCUUUGUAUCGUUCAUCCUCAACACCUGGGAUUCCUGGCUUUAGCUUGAAUAGCCAUCUGCAUCCAACAAGAUUUGCCUUUGCAUGCCUAUUAAUGAGAUCCCAGGUUCUGUUCUUUCUAUGAUUCCAUUUCUUCUUCUGCUACCUGCUUCCAUAGUUUCUUUUCUCGGCUUCUCACAGCUUCUGCGUAGCUUUUUGGUUCCUGAACUUCAAAGUCCUCAAUUACAUUGAGAGCGUAAGCUACAAAAUUCCCAUCUUCAUAUCGUGAUGGUGGUCUCACGUUCUGUCUCCUUUCCCUAUCUUGUGCCAGAACAUAGGUGUCUAGAGUUUCAGUGUCACCACUCUCACUCUCAACCUCGUGAUCACUUUCACUAUCAACUUCGUGAUCUUGUUCUUGGUCACUUACACCUCCAUCAGAGGUUAUUAAGCAAGGGUUCUUAAGAGAAAAGCCCUAAAAAUAAAUCAAAAAGGAAAAAAAUGACAACAACCGGUUCCUAAAAAAGAGGUUUUAGAAUUGUUAAAAACCUCUAACGUGUCUGUUUUUUAUUGGUUCUUCUUGUCUCUCUCUCUCGCCUCUUCCUCUCUUGGUCGUGACUCUCUCAUUCGAAUCUGUCUGGUAAAUCAUUCUUCUACACAGCUCCCAAACCUUGAUUAUCUAUUCUUCAUCAUGUUUGAUUUCGUGGGUAUUAUCUCAAUUUAGGGAUUUUGAUUUUCUGAUUUGGGAAUUUAGGUUUCUUCCAAUUUGGGAAUAAGUCUAUGAAAAGAGACAUUCACACUUGUAUUGAGAGGAUCUUUGGUGGUUUCCCUGAAAAUCUUCAGAAAAGAGCUAAUUACACUUGCCUCUGCAAGGUUUCGAUCAAGGCACCAAGGUUCGUCUACUUCAUUCUCUCUCUUUCUCUGUAAUCAAAAAUCAAAAUAUGUCAGCUUUAUUUUCUAAGAAAUGAAUCUGCAAAAGGUCUGGAUAGAUAAAAGAACCGGUGGUGUUUACUUCUUUUCUGCCUAAUAUGUGUGUUGGUUUGAUUACUUUAUGUAAGCUCUUCAAAACUAUACUCUUUUCCUCCUGAAUUGGUUUGUUGAUCAUGUGGUUUUAUAUAGACCUCUUUUCAGUCAAAGUUAACAUUUUUUUCUUUGGGUCAAUCGAUUAAUUUUGAGUGAUAGAUGAGUAUUGAAGUACAUAGUCUUGUGGUUGCUCUUGUAUUGCAUUGUGUUUGUGUUUGUGUCUUGGUCAAUCGAUUAAUGUUAUUGUAUUGUGUUUGUGUCUUGGUGUUGUGUAUAUGUGGCAUUGUAAUGACAUUGGUUAUGCAAGUUUAAUGACACAAAUCUCUUGUGUUUUUCUAUUUUUCUUCAGAUAGAAGCCAUUGGUCUCGGUUAGGAUCUGUGUAGUUGAUUCCGGUUCAUGUUUGCUGUUUUAAUUAUACAGACAAAGGAACCAAAACAGGUUCAAGGGCGAGGAAGAAAAGGACAUGAUGUAGAAGUAGAACAUGAAGAAGAUGAUGCCACGACAUCUGAGCAACAGCCAAUUGAGAAACAAGCUGAGGAGUUCUCUGGAGAAUGGGAUACAAAUGUGCCUGAGCAGGCAGUGAUAGUAGUAAGUAACACACCAAAUAUGUUCUCGGGUCUUUGCAUUGUUUCUCCAUGGAUGAUUCCUUAACUUUAAGAAAUAACAGGGAGAGGAGCAAGGGAUGAAGGGAAUGAGAAAGCGGGUGGGCAGAGAAAAGGGCGUAGCGUGGGAAUCAUCAUAAUCAUCACCAUCAACAUCAAGUUGGAACACCACCUUCAAACCAUCCAAUGAGCAGCAUGGAGUAGCCAAAACAGCAACCACCGGGACCAAGGAUGCCUGAUGGGACCAGAGGAUUCUCGAUGGGAAGAGGAAAGCCAAUCACGGUUCAGGCAGACUGAUCCAGAGCUGAGUGAGUUGUGUG
rnacentral:lncRNA from 1 species